AAUCAACGCUGGCGGCGUGCCUAACACAUGCAAGUCGAACGCGAAAGUGGAGCAAUCCAUGAGUAGAGUGGCAAACGGGUGAGUAACACGUGGGUGACCUGCCUUCGAGUGGGGGGAUAACGUUUCGAAAGGAACGCUAAUACCGCAUAACAUGCUGUCUUUUAACAGAUGGACAUCAAAGCCGGGGACCGCAAGGCCUGGCGCUUGAAGAGGGGCCCGCGCCUGAUUAGCUAGUUGGUGGGGUAAUGGCUCACCAAGGCAACGAUCAGUAUCCGGCCUGAGAGGGCGGACGGACACACUGGGACUGAGACACGGCCCAGACUCCUACGGGAGGCAGCAGUGGGGAAUUGUUCGCAAUGGGCGCAAGCCUGACGACGCAACGACCGCGUGGAGGAUGAAGAUCUUCGGGUCGUAAAACUCCUUUCGAUCGAGACGAAUGG
rnacentral:rRNA from 1 species